AAGGCCUCAUAGUAAGCAAAAUGGUGAUACACCAGAACGUCAGGUCGAGGUGUAGCUCACGAGGUGGGAAGAAAUGGGCUACAUUUUCUAUGUUAGAAUAAUACGAAUAAUACUAUGAAAUAAGUAGUUGAAGGUGGAUUUAGUAGUAAAAAACAAACAGAGAGUCUUUUUGAAUUAGGCUCUGAGAUGCGUACACACCGCCCGUCACUCUCCCUAAUUUAAACAGUAUCAAAUGUAAAU
rnacentral:rRNA from 1 species